rnacentral:lncRNA from 1 species
UGGAUUUUUUAGAGGUGAUCUUAGAGGUGUUCUUCAUCUGGAACGAAAGGCUGACGAAGAAGACAGCAACCAGGCUGAUUUCGUCAAGGGCCUUCAAUCGAGUCCAGAAGUCUCCAGAUCUGUUCGUUGCUGGUUCCGCUGCACCCAAGGUCCGUGGGAGGAGCUGGGAUCAUGCUCCAACAAGUCUAUCAGAUUUUCUAGUAAUCUCCCAUUCUAGGCUCUUUUCUGCUAAAUCCUCUAGAAAUUAUCAGGCUUCUAUAGGCUCUUUGUUCAUGAAUUGACCCUGACACAUUGAUUCUAACAUGAUUCUGGAGUUUGGAUCUAGUCUUUCAUAAAUGAUUUGGCACGGCC